UAAGGUCAUGGCGAGAUGAGCCUAUAGUGAAUAUUAUAGGUGCCAAGUGUAAAUGCAGCGAUGUAUGUUAGCUGAGGCAUCCUAAAAGACCGAUUUAUUUGAAC
rnacentral:rRNA from 1 species